rnacentral:rRNA from 1 species
GACGAACGCUGGCGGUGUGCUUAACACAUGCAAGUGGUGCGACGAACCAGAGCUUGCUCUGGGGCAAAGCCGCGAACGGGUGAGUAACACGUGGGUAAUCUACCCCGAUGACCGGGACAACCCGAGGAAACUCGGGCUAAUACCGGAUGUGGUACGGAGACAUAAGUCUCUUUACUAAAGGUAGCUUCGGCUUCCGCAUUGGGAGGGGCCCGCGGCCCAUUAGCUAGUUGGUGGGGUCAAGGCCUACCAAGGCAACGAUGGGUAGCUGGUCUGAGAGGACGAUCAGCCACACUGGGACUGAGACACGGCCCAGACUCCUACGGGAGGCAGCAGUGGGGAAUCUUGCGCAAUGCGCGAAAGCGUGACGCAGCAACACCGCGUGAGGGAAGACGGCCUUAGGGUUGUAAACCUCUUUCAGAUGGGACGAAGGUGAUGCGGUGAAUAGCCGAUGUCAUUGACGGUACCGUCAGAAGAAGACUCCGGCUAACUACGUGCCAGCAGCCGCGGUAAU